rnacentral:rRNA from 1 species
UACGUAGGGGGCAAGCGUUGUCCGGAUUUAUUGGGCGUAAAGAGCGUGUAGGCGGCCAGACAAGUCUGCUGUGAAAACUCGAGGCUCAACCUCGAGACGUCGGUUGAAACCGUAAGGCUAGAGUCCGGAAGAGGCGAGUGGAAUUCCCGGUGUAGCGGUGAAAUGCGCAGAUAUCGGGAGGAACACCUAUGGCGAAGGCAGCUCGCUGGGACGUUACUGACGCUGAGACGCGAAAGCGUGGGGAGCAAACAGG